rnacentral:rRNA from 1 species
AAAUUGAAGAGUUUGAUCAUGGCUCAGAUUGAACGCUGGCGGCAGGCCUAACACAUGCAAGUCGAGCGGAAACGAUAACAUUGAAUCUUCGGAGGAUUUGUUGGGCGUCGAGCGGCGGACGGGUGAGUAAUGCCUAGGAAAUUGCCUUGAUGUGGGGGAUAACCAUUGGAAACGAUGGCUAAUACCGCAUAAUGCCUACGGGCCAAAGAGGGGGAUCUUCGGACCUCUCGCGUCAAGAUAUGCCUAGGUGGGAUUAGCUAGUUGGUGAGGUAAUGGCUCACCAAGGCGACGAUCCCUAGCUGGUCUGAGAGGAUGAUCAGCCACACUGGAACUGAGACACGGUCCAGACUCCUACGGGAGGC